rnacentral:rRNA from 1 species
GCCCUUCGGGGUGGAUUAGUGGCGAACGGGUGAGUAACACGUGGGCAAUCUGCCCUUCACUCUGGGACAAGCCCUGGAAACGGGGUCUAAUACCGGAUACGAGUCCGGGAGGCAUCUCCCGGGCUGGAAAGCUCCGGCGGUGAAGGAUGAGCCCGCGGCCUAUCAGCUUGUUGGUGGGGUAAUGGCCUACCAAGGCGACGACGGGUAGCCGGCCUGAGAGGGCGACCGGCCACACUGGGACUGAGACACGGCCCAGACUCCUACGGGAGGCAGCAGUGGGGAAUAUUGCACAAUGGGCGCAAGCCUGAUGCAGCGACGCCGCGUGAGGGAUGACGGCCUUCGGGUUGUAAACCUCUUUCAGCAGGGAAGAAGCGCAAGUGACGGUACCUGCAGAAGAAGCGCCGGCUAACUACGUGCCAGCAGCCGCGGUAAUACGUAGGGCGCAAGCGUUGUCCGGAAUUAUUGGGCGUAAAGAGCUCGUAGGCGGCUUGUCACGUCGGGUGUGAAAGCCCGGGGCUUAACCCCGGGUCUGCAUCCGAUACGGGCAGGCUAGAGUGUGGUAGGGGAGAUCGGAAUUCCUGGUGUAGCGGUGAAAUGCGCAGAUAUCAGGAGGAACACCGGUGGCGAAGGCGGAUCUCUGGGCCAUUACUGACGCUGAGGAGCGAAAGCGUGGGGAGCGAACAGGAUUAGAUACCCUGGUAGUCCACGCCGUAAACGUUGGGAACUAGGUGUUGGCGACAUUCCACGUCGUCGGUGCCGCAGCUAA